UACGGGGGGGGCAAGCGUUGUUCGGAAUUACUGGGCGUAAAGGGCUCGUAGGUGGCCAACUAAGUCAGACGUGAAAUCCCUCGGCUUAACCGGGGAACUGCGUCUGAUACUGGAUGGCUUGAGUUUGGGAGAGGGAUGCGGAAUUCCAGGUGUAGCGGUGAAAUGCGUAGAUAUCUGGAGGAACACCGAUAGCGAAGGCAGCUCGCUGGGACGGUACUGACGCUAAGGCGCGAAAGCGUGGGGAGCGAACAGG
rnacentral:rRNA from 1 species